AUUGAACGCUGGCGGCAGGCCUAACACAUGCAAGUCGAGCGAGCGGCGGACGGGUGAGUCAUGCCUGGGCAUUGCCCAUUCGAGGGGGAUAACAGUUGGAAACGACUGCUAAUACCGCAUACGUUUUGAUUUCCCCGGUGUGAUUAGCUGGUUGGUGAGGUAAUGGCUCACCAAGGCGACGAUCCCUAGCUGGUCUGAGAGGAUGAUCGGCAAAACGGGAACUGGGACACGGUCCAGACUCCUACGGGAGGCAGCAGUGGGGAAUAUUGCACAAUGGGGGAAACCCGGAUGCAGCCAUGCCGCGUGUGUGAAGAAGGCCUUCGGGUUGUAAAGCACUUUCAGCGAGGAGGCGUUACUCGCAGAAGAAGCACCGGCUAACUCCGUGCCAGCCGCCGCGGUAAUUC
rnacentral:rRNA from 1 species